GGCGUUAAGUUGCAGGGUAUAGACCCGAAACCCGGUGAUCUAGCCAUGGGCAGGUUGAAGGUUGGGUAACACUAACUGGAGGACCGAACCGACUAAUGUUGAAAAAUUAGCGGAUGACCUGUGGCUGGGGGUGAAAGGCCAAUCAAACCGGGAGAUAGCUGGUUCUCCCCGAAAGCUAUUUAGGUAGCGCCUCGUGAAUUCAUCUCCGGGGGUAGAGCACUGUUUCGGCUAGGGGGCCAUCCCGGCUUACCAACCCGAUGCAAACUGCGAAUACCGGAGAAUGUUAUCACGGGAGACACACGGCGGGUGCUAACGUCCGUCGUGAAGAGGGAAACAACCCAGACCGCCAGCUAAGGUCCCAAAGUCAUGGUUAAGUGGGAAACGAUGUGGGAAGGCCCAGA
rnacentral:rRNA from 1 species